rnacentral:rRNA from 1 species
GGAUUAGAUACCCUGGUAGUCCACGCCGUAAACGAUGUCAGCUAGCCGUCAGGGUGCAUGCACCUUGGUGGCGCAGUUAACGCAUUAAGCUGACCGCCUGGGGAGUACGGCCGCAAGGUUAAAACUCAAAGGAAUUGACGGGGGCCUGCACAAGCGGUGGAGCAUGUGGUUUAAUUCGAAGCAACGCGCAGAACCUUACCAGCUCUUGACAUCCCUGGACCGCCACGGAGACGUGGUUUCCCUUCGGGGCCAGGUGACAGGUGCUGCAUGGCUGUCGUCAGCUCGUGCCG